AUAUGUUAAGGUCAAACUUCCAUACCUUACAAUUACGGUUGGCUACGUAACCUGCAGAAGUACGGCGGGCGACUCACGCCGCCACCGUACGAUUUUAGUAAAAUCACGUGUCCCGUCUACAUUUUCUAUGGGUAUUCGUUUUUUUAUUGGUCGUAAACUGUUCCGUGAAUUCUAAUAAUUCUCUAUCAUCAUGUUCUAGAGAAAAAGAUCUGCUCACCGUUCCUCAGGACGUGGCAUGGCUUGCUGAUAAACUGGGGAACUUGAAAGAAUCGAUACGAGUAGACCAUGCCCUGUAUAAUCACUUUGAUUUUUUAUGGGCCACAGACAACAACGUUAUUCUGUACGAUCCAAUUAUAUACCGCUUGCCGUCAGCAGUGUGAUUUUAAGGGUUUACCUGUGAUCCAGUACCAAUAUUGAAGAUGCAUCGGCGCUAAUCUUCGUUUCCAUUUUCGUCUCGUUUAGAGAUCUAUACUUUUAUUGCAUUAUUUACUAUGCGGCAAUCUGCUGAAAGCCGAAUGAAUCAUUCGAGAAUCAA